UACAGAGGUCCCAAGCGUUGUUCGGAUUCAUUGGGCGUAAAGCGCGCGUAGGCGGCCCGGUAAGUCCGUUGUGAAAGUCAAAGGCUCAACCUUUGAACGCCGAUGGAUACUGCCGGGCUAGAGUCCGGAAGAGGCGAGUGGAAUUCCUGGUGUAGCGGUGGAAUGCGCAGAUAUCAGGAGGAACACCAAUAGCGAAGGCAGCUCGCUGGGACGGUACUGACGCUGAGGCGCGAAAGCGUGGGGAGCGAACAGG
rnacentral:rRNA from 1 species